CAGGAUGAACGCUAGCUACAGGCUUAACACAUGCAAGUCGAGGGGCAUCAGGAAGAAAGCUUGCUUUCUUUGCUGGCGACCGGCGCACGGGUGAGUAACACGUAUCCAACCUGCCCUUUACUCGGGGAUAGCCUUUCGAAAGAAAGAUUAAUACCCGAUAGCAUAAUGAUUCCGCAUGGUUUCAUUAUUAAAGGAUUCCGGUAAAGGAUGGGGAUGCGUUCCAUUAGGUUGUUGGUGAGGUAACGGCCCACCAAGCCUUCGAUGGAUAGGGGUUCUGAGAGGAAGGUCCCCCACAUUGGAACUGAGACACGGUCCAAACUCCUACGGGAGGCAGCAGUGAGGAAUAUUGGUCAAUGGGCGCUAGCCUGAACCAGCCAAGUAGCGUGAAGGAUGAAGGCUCUAUGGGUCGUAAACUUCUUUUAUAUAAGAAUAAAGUGCAGUAUGUAUACUGUUUUGUAUGUAUUAUAUGAAUAAGGAUCGGCUAACUCCGUGCCAGCAGCCGCGGUAAUACGGAGGAUCCGAGCGUUAUCCGGAUUUAUUGGGUUUAAAGGGAGCGUAGGUGGACUGGUAAGUCAGUUGUGAAAGUUUGCGGCUCAACCGUAAAAUUGCAGUUGAUACUGUCAGUCUUGAGUACAGUAGAGGUGGGCGGAAUUCGUGGUGUAGCGGUGAAAUGCUUAGAUAUCACGAAGAACUCCGAUUGCGAAGGCAGCUCACUGGACUGCAACUGACACUGAUGCUCGAAAGUGUGGGUAUCAAACAGGAUUAGAUACCCUGGUAGUCCACACAGUAAACGAUGAAUACUCGCUGUUUGCGAUAUACAGUAAGCGGCCAAGCGAAAGCAUUAAGUAUUCCACCUGGGGAGUACGCCGGCAACGGUGAAACUCAAAGGAAUUGACGGGGGCCCGCACAAGCGGAGGAACAUGUGGUUUAAUUCGAUGAUACGCGAGGAACCUUACCCGGGCUUAAAUUGCAGUGGAAUGAUGUGGAAACAUGUCAGUGAGCAAUCACCGCUGUGAAGGUGCUGCAUGGUUGUCGUCAGCUCGUGCCGUGAGGUGUCGGCUUAAGUGCCAUAACGAGCGCAACCCUUAUCUUUAGUUACUAACAGGUUAUGCUGAGGACUCUAGAGAGACUGCCGUCGUAAGAUGUGAGGAAGGUGGGGAUGACGUCAAAUCAGCACGGCCCUUACGUCCGGGGCUACACACGUGUUACAAUGGGGGGUACAGAAGGCAGCUAGCGGGUGACCGUAUGCUAAUCCCAAAAUCCUCUCUCAGUUCGGAUCGAAGUCUGCAACCCGACUUCGUGAAGCUGGAUUCGCUAGUAAUCGCGCAUCAGCCACGGCGCGGUGAAUACGUUCCCGGGCCUUGUACACACCGCCCGUCAAGCCAUGGGAGCCGGGGGUACCUGAAGUACGUAACCGCAAGGAUCGUCCUAGGGUAAAA
rnacentral:rRNA from 1 species